rnacentral:rRNA from 2 species
CACUCUCGUUUAGAUUGAAGGAGCUUGCUCCUGAUUGAUAAACAUUUGAGUGAGUGGCGGACGGGUGAGUAACACGUGGGUAACCUGCCCUAAAGUGGGGGAUAACAUUUGGAAACAGAUGCUAAUACCGCAUAAAACCUAACACCGCAUGGUGUAGGGUUGAAAGAUGGUUUCGGCUAUCACUUUAGGAUGGACCCGCGGUGCAUUAGUUAGUUGGUGAGGUAAAGGCUCACCAAGACCGUGAUGCAUAGCCGACCUGAGAGGGUAAUCGGCCACACUGGGACUGAGACACGGCCCAGACUCCUACGGGAGGCAGCAGUAGGGAAUCUUCCACAAUGGACGAAAGUCUGAUGGAGCAACGCCGCGUGAGUGAAGAAGGUUUUCGGAUCGUAAAACUCUGUUGUUGGAGAAGAAUGUAUCUGAUAGUAACUGAUCAGGUAGUGACGGUAUCCAACCAGAAAGCCACGGCUAACUACGUGCCAGCAGCCGCGGUAAUACGUAGGUGGCAAGCGUUGUCCGGAUUUAUUGGGCGUAAAGCGAGCGCAGGCGGUUUCUUAAGUCUGAUGUGAAAGCCUUCGGCUCAACCGAAGAAGUGCAUCGGAAACUGGGAAACUUGAGUGCAGAAGAGGACAGUGGAACUCCAUGUGUAGCGGUGAAAUGCGUAGAUAUAUGGAAGAACACCAGUGGCGAAGGCGGCUGUCUGGUCUGUAACUGACGCUGAGGCUCGAAAGCAUGGGUAGCAAACAGGAUUAGAUACCCUGGUAGUCCAUGCCGUAAACGAUGAGUGCUAGGUGUUGGAGGGUUUCCGCCCUUCAGUGCCGCAGCUAACGCAUUAAGCACUCCGCCUGGGGAGUACGACCGCAAGGUUGAAACUCAAAGGAAUUGACGGGGGCCCGCACAAGCGGUGGAGCAUGUGGUUUAAUUCGAAGCAACGCGAAGAACCUUACCAGGUCUUGACAUCCUUUGACCACUCUAGAGAUAGAGCUUUCCCUUCGGGGACAAAGUGACAGGUGGUGCAUGGUUGUCGUCAGCUCGUGUCGUGAGAUGUUGGGUUAAGUCCCGCAACGAGCGCAACCCUUAUUACUAGUUGCCAGCAUUUAGUUGGGCACUCUAGUGAGACUGCCGGUGACAAACCGGAGGAAGGUGGGGACGACGUCAAAUCAUCAUGCCCCUUAUGACCUGGGCUACACACGUGCUACAAUGGAUGGUACAACGAGUUGCGAGACCGCGAGGUUUAGCUAAUCUCUUAAAACCAUUCUCAGUUCGGAUUGUAGGCUGCAACUCGCCUACAUGAAGCCGGAAUCGCUAGUAAUCGCGGAUCAGCAUGCCGCGGUGAAUACGUUCCCGGGCCUUGUACACACCGCCCGUCACACCAUGAGAGU